rnacentral:lncRNA from 1 species
UUUAUGCUUUGAAAUGUUUUGUUCUGACUGUUGAAAACUGUCCGUACGCUUCUGCAAACGCUCAUGCAAAUGUCCAAUCACUGGAGGUAGUUCUGUGAGCUGUGGGGAAGAGCGGUCGGUGAGUUUGGGAUGUAGUUGUGUCUGUGUUGAUCGUUCAGGUGAUGGCUGCUGUCUCUCUGGUCAUGAUGAAGGUCGAGUCGAGAAGCUGCUCGAAAUAAUGUGUAAUAUAGAAUCACACAGAUUAAAUUAUAUAGAUGGAAUAUAGAUAAUAAAGCUUCUGUAAAGAAGCAGCAUGGCAAUUAGACUGUGUGAAAUGUCUCACAUAUGCUUUUUAAAAUUAAAAACUGUUCUGGGUUCAUUACAUCUCUGCUGUUAGUUACCACAGAAAAUAAUUCAGACUCAUUCCUCGUUUUGUAAAAAUGAUCCAAAGUUGUGUGUUCAGUAAUACACUUACAGUAGAAGUCCACGGUCAAGACACUCCUCAGUACAAAUGUUAAAAUGCACAGAUUUGGAAGUAUAGCCCCAGGACUUUCAAAACACAAUUAGAUGACAAUCUAACUCACGGUAAACAUUAAAGCUGCUAACUUUCUCAUGAUACACACAAGAAAACCAGGAAGCUGAUGUUUACCAAACAAACCAACCGAGAGUCAGCUAAAAUAAGACUUUUUUGUUUGAAUUAAUAUAAGCUGAUAAGAAUUUGGGUAAUGUUCACUAAAAUAUCUGAACAUAGAAACUCUGCAUUAUCCUUUGACUGGGCUGCUGGAAGAUUUCAUCUGCCGAUACGUUAAUGCUCAAAUCUGUGGCAUCUCAUAUGCGGUCAUGUUUUGUGUUUUUGUGUGUUUUCUGUAGAUUUGUCUCCUGUGGAUCUGUAGAGCAGCCUCAGAAGAAGAAAACCCCGCCCCUUUCCAGGCCAUGCCCCGCCCAGCACACACAGAGGCCACGCCCCACUCCCUCAGCCACACCCAAGACGCCCAGAGCACAGAAACCCCACGUGCCCCCUAAGCCUGUGCACCUGCUGCCGCGGGGUCCCGUCCCCCGAGAGCCAGAGUCCCGUCUGCAGGGCUUCCACAGCUCCAGGUAAGAUCUAAUCGGGUGUAUGGGGAUGCUUUGAACAAACCUCUAGCCGUCCAUAAGGUGUGUGCCUCAGAUCAUGUGGCUUUGUUGAAGAGAGGUGUGUGGUUAUGUUUCUAAUCGAGUGGACUUAUGAUUUCUGUCUGGUGCACAAUAAAAUGGGCAUAAAAUCCUGUAGACUUAAACUGAAGAAGGCCAGAACUUCAUGGAGGCUUCAGACCCGGACUCAUUGUGGUUUUGCACAGUCAAACUACUCACAUUUCUAUUAAAAAAUAUAUGAACAUCUUAUAUGUUUGUUUAGUGACACUUUACAGUAAGAUUCUCUGUGUUUACAGUAGUUAACUCUAUUAGUUAAUGUGAACUUAGAAUGGAAAAUGC